rfam:Triticum urartu cultivar G1812 contig654196, whole genome shotgun sequence.
CUUCUACUCUCUCCGUUCGGAAAUACUUGUCCUAGAAAUGAUUGUAUCAAGUCUAGAUACAACCAUUUUUAGGACAAGUAUUUCCGAACGGAGGGAGUAUGAA